UCGCUACAGUAAUCCAACAUAGUACGAGAGGAACCGUUGGGUCAGAUCACUGGUAAUGCGAUUUCCUGACCAGGAAGUGUCGCCAAGCUACCAUCUGUUUGAUUAUGACUGAACGCCUCUAAGUCAGAAUCACUACUGGAACGCGACGUCCGCCAGUCG
rnacentral:rRNA from 1 species